AUUGAACGCUGGCGGCAUGCUUUACACAUGCAAGUCGAACGGUAACAGGGUGCUUGCACCGCUGACGAGUGGCGAACGGGUGAGUAAUACAUCAGAAUGUACCCAGUAAUGGGGGAUGACGCUUCGAAAGGAGUGCUAAUACCGCAUACGCCCUGAGGGGGAAAGUGGGGGACCGCAAGGCCUCACGUUAUUGGAGCAGCCGAUGGCUGAUUAGCUAGUUGGUGAGGUAAAGGCUCACCAAGGCGACGAUCAGUAGCGGGUCUUAGAGGACGAUCCGCCACACUGGAACUGAGACACGGCCCAGACUCCUACGGGAGGCAGCAGUGGGGAAUUUUGGACAAUGGGGGCAACCCUGAUCCAGCAAUGCCGCGUGUGUGAAGAAGGCCUUCGGGUUGUAAAGCACUUUUGUUUGGGAAGAAAUCCCUUGGGAUAAUACCUCAGGGGGAUGACGGUACCAAAAGAAUAAGCACCGGCUAACUACGUGCCAGCCGCCGCGGUAACAC
rnacentral:rRNA from 1 species